CCAAAUCUUACAUCAAUGGUAAGAAAAACAUCCAAAAGAGUAGAACAGUGUCAUAAUACGUGAAGUCUUGCUUGAGAAUGCUCCGGGCACCUGGCUAUGGAAGGUAGAAUAGAGAUUAGAAUAAUAAAAUCCUAAUUCUAAUAAAAUACUAACUAAAUUCUAAUUAGAUCAUAACAAUGCUAAGUAAGAUUUAAUCAAAUUCAAAGAAACCUCAAAAGAAUUACAAAGAAAUAUUAGAAUGAUCACAAAUAUAUCUCAAAUACAUCUCAAUUCAAUCUUAAUUUAAUCCUAGUUAAAAUCUUAUUGGACUUCAUUCAAACUUUAGGCCAAAAACUAACUAAAUCUUAAAUCCUAAAUAAAUCCUAAUAAAAUUCUAAAUCCUAAAUCAAAUCCUAAUCCUAAAUCCUAAACCAAAUCCUAACCAAAUUCUAACGCUAAAUCAAAUCAUAACCAAAUCCUAAAUCCUAAACCAAAUCCUAACCAAAUCUUAAUCUUAAAUCAAAUCCUAAUUAAAUCUUAAAUCCUAUAUCAAACCUUAAUUCUAAAUCAAACUCUAACCAAAUCCUAAAUCCUAAAUCAAAUCCAAAUCCUAAAUCAAAUCCUAAUCAAAUCCUAAUCCUAAAUCAAA
rnacentral:lncRNA from 1 species